AACAUUCUAGAAACAAAACGUAUCUCCAUAAUCUAUAUCGAUCUGUAUUCCCCUUCUCUCACAGCCUCACUUGUCUCUGAAUUCUUAUCACAGCCUCACUUCUCCCUCAAUUUUAAUUGACCCUAAAACUCAUCUCCUCCACCUCAUAAAACAUCGGUGUUAUUUCAGCUUCAUUUCAACAAUCCUCUCGACUAUCUCGUUUCCUUUUCUUUUUUUCCACAACUGACUAUCUCUCUCGUCCAUCUCUUUCUUCUGUAAAAGUAAUUCUAGAUCUGUAUAAUAUGGUUCCCAUCCCUUUUUUUUUUUUGAUUGAAGAUCAGGGUUUCAGAUCAGUGUAUUACGAUUUCAAUCCUUGUUAUUUCAAUGUAAGGGUUUGUUGUUUUUCUUUUUGAAGCUUUUGCUGGUUAUUAGGAAUUUUUGGGUCCUCUUUUGCUAUAUCAAAUUAGGGAUUGAUAAUUAUUAAGUUUAUUUUCGGUUCAGAUUCAACUUUGGCAGUGAUUAUUUAGUUCAAUUUUUUGGUUUAAUAAGUAUAAUCAUUUUUACUGUUGUAUCAAGAGUUAAGGAUUUGUUGCUGGGAUGCUGGAUUCGUCGAUUGGUAUCAUUUGAUUUGCGAUAAAAAUCCAUUCGUUGUUGUGCAUAGACCAUUUACAAGGAAGUUUGCUAUUCAAAUUUGAAAUUUCUAACCAGAACCAACCUUCUCCAGUGGAAGCCAAACUGAGAUAGAUUCAUAUAAUAAAGUCAUUAUAGUUGUUGCUGAAUACAUAACAAAUAGUUCCUUCUCGGAUCCAAUGUUUGUGAAGCUGAUGAAGUCGAAAUAUUGGAGGGAAUUAACUUAAUGGAAGAGGAAGUUGACAAUGGAGGAUCCGUUCUGGAUUGAUACUUGUGACUCAAAUAACACUGUUGGAGUUGUAGGUUAUUCGAUGAUCUAUAUGCUGACUACAAGAAAACUGAGGGAUGGGAUUUCUUAGGAGGCCACUUGUUAUCUUUCAUGACUUCCAUUAAAUUGCUUUCCAAAAUGAUAGCUUGUCCAACCUGCUUACCAUUCUGUGUUGGGUCAUCUACGAUAAGAGACUCCAUAUGGUUUCAAGGAUGCGUUUGAUGUGGCUGCUCACCAUUGUUCUCGAUCUUUCAUUGCAAAAUUUGGCAAAGGAUGUGUUGUGUUUAGGUGUUGAAGUCAGGCUUGGACAGAGCUAUAAGGUGUUCUUGGCACUGAACAAAAAUUCUUUCAUGUCUCACAGGGAUUAUGCUUUUUGUUUACAGCUUAGACUUCGAGUAAUGGACCUGAUUAGAUCUAGAUUGUCAGUAAAUGAUGGGAUAAAUGAUGAAGUCUUGCCUUCAACUUAGUGUUGGAGCUUUCUGGUUGUCAAGCUUGUAAUAGUCUGGUUGUUAAGCUUGUAAUAGGAAUAUAUGUUAAACAUUUUCAACUUAGUUUUGAAGUUUUGAGAUGUGGAACUUAAAAGUAUUUCAGAUAGUUGAAGUUGUAAACUGAAUACACUUUUUUAAUACAGAUUCGGUUGUGAAGUCCUUACCAAUUUAA